CACGCCCUAAACGAUGUCAACUGGUUGUUGGGAAUUCACUUUCUCAGUAACGAAGCUAACGCGUGAAGUUGACCGCCUGGGGAGUACGGCCGCAAGGUUAAAACUCAAAGGAAUUGACGGGGACCCGCACAAGCGGUGGAUGAUGUGGUUUAAUUCGAUGCAACGCGAAAAACCUUACCCACCUUUGACAUGUAUGGAAGGCCGCAGAGACGCGGUUGUGCCCGAAAGGGAGCCAUAACACAGGUGC
rnacentral:rRNA from 2 species